rnacentral:rRNA from 1 species
CAUAAUGAGCCUGCGAGUUGUGGUGUCUGGCAAGGUUAAGCAAACGCGAAGCCGUAGCGAAAGCGAGUCUGAAUAGGGCGCUUAGUCAGAUGCUGCAGACCCGAAACGAAGUGAUCUAUCCAUGAGCAAGUUGAAGCUAGUGUAAGAACUAGUGGAGGACUGAACCCAUAGGCGUUGAAAAGCCCCGGGAUGACUUGUGGAUAGGGGUGAAAGGCCAAUCAAACUUCGUGAUAGCUGGUUCUCUCCGAAAUAUAUUUAGGUAUAGCGUUGUGUCGUAAUAUAAGGGGGUAGAGCACUGAAUGGGCUAGGGCAUACACCAAUGUACCAAACCCUAUCAAACUCCGAAUACCUUAUAUGUAAUCACAGCAGUCAGGCGGCGAGUGAUAAAAUCCGUCGUCAAGAGGGAAACAACCCAGACUACCAGCUAAGGUCCCUAAAUCUUACUUAAGUGGAAAACGAUGUGAAGUUACUUAAACAACCAGGAGGUUGGCUUAGAAGCAGCCAUCCUUUAAAGAAAGCGUAAUAGCUCACUGGUCUAGUGAUUUUGCGCGGAAAAUAUAACGGGGCUAAAGUAAGUACCGAAGCUGUAGACUUAGUUUACUAAGUGGUAGGAGAGCGUUCUAUUUGCGUCGAAGGUAUACCGGUAAGGAGUGCUGGAGCGAAUAGAAGUGAGCAUGCAGGCAUGAGUAGCGAUAAUUAAUGUGAGAAUCAUUAACGCCGUAAACCCAAGGUUUCCUACGCGAUGCUCGUCAUCGUAGGGUUAGUCGGGUCCUAAGUCGAGUCCGAAAGGGGUAGACGAUGGCAAAUUGGUUAAUAUUCCAAUACCAACAUUAGUGUGCGAUGGAAGGACGCUUAGGGCUAAGGGGGCUAGCGGAUGGAAGUGCUAGUCUAAGGUCGUAGGAGGUUGUACAGGCAAAUCCGUAUAACAAUACUCCGAGAACUGAAAGGCUUUUUGAAGUCUUCGGAUGGAUAGAAGAACCCCUGAUGCCGUCGAGCCAAGAAAAGUUUCUAAGUUUAGCUAAUGUUGCCCGUACCGUAAACCGACACAGGUGGGUGGGAUGAGUAUUCUAAGGCGCGUGGAAGAACUCUCUUUAAGGAACUCUGCAAAAUAGCACCGUAUCUUCGGUAUAAGGUGUGGUUAGCUUUGUAUUAGGAUUUACUCCGAAAGCAAGGAAACUUACAACAAAGAGUCCCUCCCGACUGUUUACCAAAAACACAGCACUCUGCUAACUCGUAAGAGGAUGUAUAGGGUGUGACGCCUGCCCGGUGCUCGAAGGUUAAUUGAUGGGGUUAGCAUUAGCGAAGCUCUUGAUCGAAGCCCGAGUAAACGGCGGCCGUAACUAUAACGGUCCUAAGGUAGCGAAAUUCCUUGUCGGUUAAAUACCGACCUGCAUGAAUGGCGUAACGAGAUGGGAGCUGUCUCAAAGAGGGAUCCAGUGAAAUUGUAGUGGAGGUGAAAAUUCCUCCUACCCGCGGCAAGACGGAAAGACCCCGUGGACCUUUACUACAGCUUGACACUGCUACUUGGAUAAGAAUGUGCAGGAUAGGUGGGAGGCUUUGAGUAUAUGACGCCAGUUGUAUAUGAGCCAUUGUUGAGAUACCACUCUUUCUUAUUUGGGUAGCUAACCAGCUUGAGUUAUCCUCAAGUGGGACAAUGUCUGGUGGGUAGUUUGACUGGGGCGGUCGCCUCCCAAAUAAUAACGGAGGCUUACAAAGGUUGGCUCAGAACGGUUGGAAAUCGUUCGUAGAGUAUAAAGGUAUAAGCCAGCUUAACUGCAAGACAUACAAGUCAAGCAGAGACGAAAGUCGGUCUUAGUGAUCCGGUGGUUCUGUGUGGAAGGGCCAUCGCUCAAAGGAUAAAAGGUACCCCGGGGAUAACAGGCUGAUCUCCCCCAAGAGCUCACAUCGACGGGGAGGUUUGGCACCUCGAUGUCGGCUCAUCGCAUCCUGGGGCUGGAGCAGGUCCCAAGGGUAUGGCUGUUCGCCAUUUAAAGCGGUACGCGAGCUGGGUUCAGAACGUCGUGAGACAGUUCGGUCCCUAUCUGCCGUGGGCGUAAGAAGAUUGAAGAGAUUUGACCCUAGUACGAGAGGACCGGGUUGAACAAACCACUGGUGUAGCUGUUGUUCUGCCAAGAGCAUCGCAGCGUAGCUAAGUUUGGAAAGGAUAAACGCUGAAAGCAUCUAAGCGUGAAGCCAACUCUAAGAUGAAUCUUCUCUAAGCUCUCUAGAAGACUACUAGUUUGAUAGGCUGGGUGUGUAAUGGAUGAAAGUCCUUUAGCUGACCAGUACUAAUAGAGCGUUUGGCUUAUCUUU